rnacentral:snoRNA from 1 species
AAACCAUGGUGAGGGCACUGUAUUAAAAAAUUAUUGAACCUUUCCCAAGCUUCUGAAAAUGACUCAUCGGUCUGUUGACUGAAUUGCAUGAUUUUAUCCCUCAGUGC